CAAUUACCAGACCCUUCAUAAUGCUUGGUGCCGAUGGCAGUAUUUUCGUAUCCCACCCAUUUGGUGAAAAAGAUUCCAGCCAGAAUUGUGUUGCUAUGGAGACAAAACUCAAGCACAGACCAUCCUACCAUUCACCAAAGCUGGGAUGACUUCAGAACUUGUUUUGGUUGGUACCAGAAAUUGAAUGCUGCAAGUGGUAUGCCCCUUAAAGGAAAUAGCCCCUGACCCACCCUACAGAAGCACCAAGAGACACAGAAAGACUGUCUACUCCUCCCACAACUGGGCUGACAACCAAGAUAUAGACCUGUGCCCUGGAGCCUCUGCUAGCUUCCUAUGAUUCAUGCCUACCCAGGGAAAGACCACAGGUCAUGCGAUGCCACACUCACCCAAAGGUGUCAUCACAAAGAAUGGCACCUACUUAGGAUCCUGAAAAAUGGAAUGGAUGAAUAUAAAGAAGAAACAGAAAAGCAAGAAAAUAAACAUGAUAUAUAGGGAUC
rnacentral:lncRNA from 1 species